rnacentral:lncRNA from 1 species
AGCUGCGCGCGUCUCGCUACGCCACGCCCCUCUCCGGCUCCACCCCAGCCCCAGCUUCAUCUCCACCCGAGAGGCUAGCGCGCUCUCAGUGUUUCUCGAGGCUGUCCUCGUGCGCAGUCCGCGCCAAAGUUCCCUGAAGAGAAAGAGGAGGAAAGAAAGGGCAGGAUUGCCGGGGCAGGCAUGGAGGAAGAAGCAGUCUGGGGAUUAGACUGGGACAGUGACGAGACGGUAGUGGAAGGGUCGGUGACCGAGAGCGAGCUAGAGGAUGACGAGUUGCCCCUGAAAAGGUUAUUUUUUGCUCAAGAUUCAUCUUUUAUAUCUGAUCCCAGUUUUCACUCUGAUCUCAGACGAAUAUAUGGAGAAGCAGCCUCUCCGGAGAUUCAUCUUGUAUAUAAACUCAAAGAGUAUCUACAAGAGCAGAUGAAUAAGCACAUGAUAAAACCAAAUAAGCAGACCAGUCAUCUUCCUGAGAGGUGGAUCUCUGGGCAGCUCUCUGAAGGAGAAAAUGAAACUCAAUUGUCUCAAGCUUUAACACAGGAUGAAAUAGAUAAUCCACUGUUCUCUGAAGAAAUUCCCCAAGAUGAUCUAGUGCUGGACUCUGAAUGGCAGAAUGAGCACAAUUAUUCUGCAGGAUUUGAUACCGAAGAUUUUGGAUUUCUGCAAAGGCCAGAAAAGGAAUUAAGUGAUGGAGAUGACUCCCCUGAAAUUAGUCUACUCUCAGGUGCUGUUAUUACAAGUUAUGGUACAGUAGAAGUAAAGAAAAAACCAUCAGAGAAGCUGGAGGGGCACAGUGUAUUGUCAGAGUCUCUAACGGAAGUUGCAUUGCCUUCAGGAGAAAUCGGGAGAGAAGAUAGCACCUAUGAAAUGUUGGUGCCCAUUAUAGAAGACUCUUCAGGAUUAUCAGAAAGUAUUCUAGUUGAAUACCCAUUUAAAAUGAAUGAAAUUGAAACUAAAGAGUUGUUAAAACCACUGAGUGAUUUGGGUAGUCCCAAAUCAAUGUCAUCUUUAGAUCAUUUGUUGAUUUGUCAGGAAGAUGGUCUGUCAGAAGACAUGCAAGAAAAUGAGAAAAAUGAUGCAUUACCGGCUGAGCUGCUGACAGCCCUGAAUACGUUGUCGGAAUCUGUGGUGGAAUCCAUCUGUCAAAGAAUGGAAAGAGGCAAUGGGUCCUGUGCUGAGAAUGAGUUCUUAGGAACAGAACCUAGCAUUUCUCAGGCAGACAAUGAUUGUACACAAAUAGGAAUGAAUUUUGAAUUUCAGCAUUCUGUUCAGCCAUUUGGACAAGGUCCCAAGUUAACUGAACCUUUAAUGCAGCAAGGUAAAGAAGGCCAAAGUUCACUUGGACAGGAAACCUUAGCACAUCAAAAUGAUGUCUGCUCUAUUGGGCUUAGAAAAAAGGAGGAUUUAAAUACCAUGGAAACUACCAUGACCAUGGAAACUUCAUCUGUGUUAAGGAGAUCAGCCAGAUUGAAAGCAGUAAGAGCAAGAGGUACCCCUAAGGAUAUAGAUGAGGUAUAUAAAAUGCCAAAAGAGAUUCUACAGAAAACACAUAGUGGACUUCCAGUUGAGUAUUUCAGAACACAAGAUCCUCCUUUUCAGAAUAACAGUGAUGAGAAAUCCAUAGAACAGAGCAAAGAACAGGUUUUAUCUCCUUAUAGCUCUGAUGAACAGUUAAGAAAGGGCAGAAAAACUACAAAAAACAGAAAAAAUCACAGAAAUAUAUCAAAGGUUUCAAGUAUUAAUCGAAGAGAUAUCUAUGGAGAAUCACUCUUGCAUAAAGCUGCUCAGGCAGAUGAUUCAGCUCUUGUCAAGAAAUAUAUAAAACUAGGUGGAAAUGUAAAUUUGCCAGAUUAUGCUGUUCUAGGUGCUGAACAAAAGGAAGCCCAGAGAAGCAGCAGGAGCCCAGCUGUUUGCUAGGAACUAAGAUAAAAUGUUCAUUAUUCUGAAAUAAAGCAUUAUGAAAAACUUCUUAAACUUACUUU